CCCUUAGACGCUCUAGGCGACACGCGCGCUACAAUGGGUGGUAGAACGUGUAACUGCUCCCGAAAGGGAGGGUGAACCACGAAUACUUACCCGUGAAUGGGAUAGUUUGUUGCAAUUUUCGGACUUGAACUAGGAAUCCCUUGUAAGAAUGCUCAAGAAUAGCGUGCUGAAUACGUCCCUGCCGUUUGUACACACCGCCCGUCGUUUCUUCCGACUGAUACUCAUUGUGAGUUGCAAGGAUUCUUAUUGAAAAAUUGCUGCGAAUGCUUUGUAUUGGAGGAAGAAAAAGUCGUAACA
rnacentral:rRNA from 1 species